CAUUGACAUAUUGUUCAGACAUGUAUUACAUGCAUAUGUAAAUAGUUUUUGUUGUUCUGCUCUGAAGCGCCUUGAGCCUCUAAUAAGGAUGGAAAGUGCGCAAUAUAAAUCUUAUGUACUAUUAUUAUUAACAUGACCAUCACUAUACUUCUUAUGAUAUUUAUGAGGAUGAAGGCAGACCAUCUGUAAUGAUAGGCAUGUGCAGAAGGAUGAUACUGCUGACACAAUUUUAGAGACCUUAAAGACAAUUAUACACGAUGUUGUCGGGGAACAAGUAGAUCAAGCCUAAAAUCAAGCAGUGAAUACCGUUUUGGCAAACAUAAGGAACAUAAUGAGCGAUAGGCAUACCAUUCAGAAGAAAUUCUUUCUUAAAUUGAAGGGUAUUUCGGCCGUACCCCUUGCUCCUUUUAAAUGCAAUAGGUUUUCAAAAAUUUUUCGCAACGCUGCCAGUGUUGCUUACCUGCUACCAGAAAUACAAGCACUUUUUGACAUCCAUGAAGAUGAGAAUCUCCUGCUGAAGGCUGUCAUUGCCAAUUUAGGCAUCAGCCAGUUUGCUGCUGGGCCUCAUUGACAAGUUUAUCACCGGUCCGUUAUGGCACGCGAUAAAUCAGAAGGGAGUGUAGUAGCGACUGCCUUGGGGGCUGGGGUUCGGAUAUUCUCGGAGGAUUUCGUAAGGAGUCGGUGGGGUUUCUCGACCUGUGACCCAGGGUCACAGGUAGUAUGCUCUUCAUGACUCACACGUGUUUGGACCGUUGAACUGAAAGCAUCGCUUUUGCCGAAACUCCUGAAAGAGCUGUUUCUUGUUUGGAUACCAAGCUGGGCAGACCUAAGUACAGGUAAGUGGGUUCUUUAUUUGAACUUAGGACCCGCGCGGCUUCAGGAGGUUCAUGUAGAAGACAAGUUAUUCAUGAGAGUUUUUCUAGGUGGUCAGAGGAUAGGAACCAACUCGUGAGGGGGGAUGAUGUCCUAUUUCAUGACAUUGACAUCAAGAAAGAUCAAAUUUAUCAUUCACUAGUGCAAGUUAAUCCAGAUUUGGAUGCAAUGACAAAGCAGGCUCUAGAAUUUGUUUUCCUGAUAUUCUUCCAAGUCACCUAAAAGAUGUUGGCCGACCAUUUGCCUUCCGGCUCUCAUACAGUAAUAGAUGGAAAAAAGAAAAGGAAAACAGCUAGUAUGCCAAGGACCAAUGCAAGUUUAGAAAGAAAUUUCAGUACGCAAGAGAGGUUGAUGCACUUAAAGCCAGCCACGAGUACAAUGGCGUAUGAAGGGAUAGUUAUGAAUGUAAAGAAUAGGACAAGUGAAGGGAGGAAUACAUGGAAUAUGCCCAGAAGAGCAUCAAGGCUCAAAGGGAGGAAUACGCACAAAGGGUAGAGACCCUAUGGGAUAAUAGGGAAGGCACACAAAAAAAUCAGAAGCAAAUUGCCAAAUAAGGUGAGGACUGAAAAGUUGUUUGCUCGUGUUAGCAGCAAGUGCAGCAGGAUAUGGCUCUCAGAAACUAAAGUCAAUUCUCGAUUAGAGGGGGCCAAUGACAAGCAUGCCAUUGAAAUGCUUUACUCUCAGUCACAGGCUAGAUGACAUGUUUUUGGGAAGAAUAUUGACAGUAAUUUAGAUAUCACUGUCAAAGGUAGAAAGAAGAGCUUGUUAGAACUAAAACAGUCCCUAAUUAGUGUAAUCAAAGCAGCCAAUGACAGGGACUGUAAUGUUGAAGAAGAAGAAAUCAAUUAUGAUUAGGCCGUAGCACCCACCGACAAGGUAGAUGUGUUCAGGCAAAAGACGUGCAAAAAGAUGGCAAAAGAAAAACUAGGACCUCAUGAGGCAAGGCCGUGAACUACGAUAGCUUAGUGGGAAUAAUAGUUGACCAUCUAUCAAUAGACGAAGAUGGUGACGUGUAAGGGUGGUACCGUGCCAUAGUUGUUCGAAAAUAUCAGAGGUCUUAGCUAUGAUAGUGACCCAAUGUCGAUCUAAACUUAUCCAAAUAGAGACAUAGAAGGUUUGGAAAAAGGGGACCUCGAGGUUGUAGAAUUGAAUGUUGAUGAUAUAGUAGGGAUGUAUUUAAUUCAUCAGUUUGUGGUCGGGGAUGAAAAGAUAUGGUAUGUACAGAGGUAGAUGAGUUCAGGCAAAAGACGUGCAAAAAGAUGGCAAAAGAAAAGACUAGGACCUCAUGAGGCAAGGCCGUGAACUACGAUAGCUUAGUGGGAAUAAUAGUUGACCAUCUAUCAAUAGACGAAGAUGGUGACGCGUAAGGGUGGUACCGUGCCAUAGUCGUUCAAAAAUAUCCAAGAGGUCUUAGCUAUGAAAGUGACCCAAUGUCGAUCUAAACUUAUCCAAAGAGAGACAUAGAAGGUUUGGAAAAAGGGGACCUCGAGGUUGUAGAAUUGAAUGUUGAUGAUAUAGUAGGGAUGUAUUUAAUUCAUCAGUUUGUGGUCGGGGAUGAAACGAUAUGGUAUGUACAGAGGGUUCAUAUCCUCUGUAACCGGCCCCCAUGAAUGCCUCGUCGAGUAUAAAUCUUUAGAAGAUGAAAAUGUCGACAGCGAUACAAUAGAUAAUACAUGGGUAGGACCAAUUUUAGAAGAUUGUCUUAAUAAUGACCUGAGGUUUGUUAGACCUAAAAUACCAAAUAUUCUUGUAAUGCUCCAGAUCAAAUUUAUCAUUUACAUGGAAUAUGCCCAGAAGAGCGUCAAGGCUCAAAGGGAUGAAUAUGCGUGAAGGGUAGAGACCCCUUGGGAUAAUAAGAAAUCCAAAAGAAAAAAUCAGAAGCAAAUUGCCAAAUAAGGUAAGGACUGAAAAGUUGUAUGCUAGUGUUAGCAGAAAGUGCGUCAGGAUAUGGCUAUCAGAAACUGAAGUCAAUUCUCGAUUAGACGGGGUCAAUGAAAAGCUUGCCAUCAAAAUGCUUCACUCUCAGUUACAGGCUAGAUUUCUUUUUUGGGAGAAGAACAUUGACAGUAAUUUAAAUAUCACUGUCAAAGGUAGAAAGAAGAGCUUGUUAGAACUAAAACAGUCCAUAAUUAGUGUAAUCAAAGCAGCCAAUGACAGGGUUUGUAAUGUUGAAGAAGAAAUUAAUUAUGAUUAGGCCGUAGCACCCACCCGACAAGGUAGUUGAGUUCAGGCAAAAGAUGCACAAAAAGAUGGCAAAAGAAAAGACUAGGACCUCAUGAGGCAAGGCCGUGAACUACGAUAGCUUAGUAGGAAUAAUAGUUGACCAUCUAUCAAUAGACGAAGAUGGUGACGCGUAAGGGUGGUACCGUGCCAUAGUCGUUCGAAAAUAUCAAAGAGGUCUUAGCUAUGAUAGUGACCCAAUGUCGAUCUAAACUUAUCCAAAGAGAGACAUAGGUUUGGAAAAAGGGGACCUCAAGGUUGUAGAAUUGAAUGUUGAUGAUAUAGUAGGGAUGCAUUUAAUUCAUCAGUUUGUGGUCGGGGAUGAAAAGAUAUGGUACAGAU
rnacentral:lncRNA from 1 species